ensembl:lncRNA
CUGAUAUUAAAGGUAAAAAUCCAUCAUCCACAGUGAAGAUAUGGUGUCAGAACUGGAGGGAGUCUUGGGUUUGAGGUUCCAACGUGGAAGCAGAUUGGAAACUACUGCCCAAAGAGCAGAAAGAGAUGGAAGCCAUGGCUUUGGAAUGAGAGAAAAAGAAAGCUUUGUCCAUGCUAGAAGAAUAGAAAAGGGAGUAAUCAGGGAUUCACAAAAGAGUAAGGUGAAACCAGAAAAGCUGUCGAGGACAGAACUGUGUGUCCACUGUCAGGUCUGGUGAGCUCAGAGCCACAGCACCACGCAUUCCUGGCAGAGCAGGGGUGCCCUUGGAGGAUUCUGAAGUGUCACAGAUGGAGACAAGAUAGCCACCGUCCUUAGCCCCGAUUCUACACUAUGCAUGCCUGUGGCUUCCUACACCCUGACCACAUGUUGUAGACAAAUUGUGUUGAAGACUGAAUGGCAGGGGAACCAUGAGGUGGAUGCCUUCCCUGGCUACAGGAAAUAAAAUACUCAUCUCUGCCUGGGAGCAUCUGCAUGACGUCACCCUAGCUAUGAACUUCAAAGAGGAUGUUUCCUAAAGAUGCCAUGUAACCCGUGCUGCAAUUAUUCUAGGGAUGAGAGUAGCUCCAUCCACGAGCAGACACUUCAGUGUUGACAGACACUAAAGAAGGUGCUGGAAGUUCAGGAGUCUACCUCCAACUGUCUCAGCUGCCCCUGUGCCAUAGUAAUGGUGAAGAGGGCACAGACUAUCCCCCCUUGCUCCAUGCCAAAAAGACCCUCACUGAAGAACCUUAUUUUCUACAGUCUUCACAGGGUACAGUGAGCAUUCCUGCUGCCACUGUGUCACCCGGUUGCUAGCCAGUGACUGGAGUCUGUCGCUUAUGCCUGUAUUCUUCCUCUUGCCUAGCAAGCUGAGGAAACCGAGGCUCAGGGAGAUGGAACUACUUUUUCACAGUCAUAGCUGCUGUGGUUGGGUUGACGUGGAGGUCCCCUUCUUGCUGCACCUCAGGUAUCAAGAGAUUCUAUCUUCUCCAUGGAAUUCAAAGCAAAUGUCUCGAAGGCCAACAGUGUUUGAAAGGAAUGUGUUAAAGAGAAGAAAGCAGACCAGCAUAACUGUUCCAUAAGUAAAGUCCCUUGCCACCAAACCUGGUGACCUGAGUUCUAUCCCCAGUUCAAGUUAUGCUCCAACCUCCACAUGUGUGCUGUAGUAGGCUUGCUCAUCACCCAAAAUACAUGCAUACAUACAAUAAAUAAUAAAGUGUUUUAAAAUGAGAGCUAAGAGAGCAAGAACAGUUGCCUAUGUUUUUCAUAUCAUGAAGUAACUCUGUGGGGGCAGCUGAGGUGUCUCCAUUUUUCCCAGGAAGAGAAUAUGGUCCAUGAUCCCAGAAGGAGAAUGUGGUCCAUGAUCCCAGGAGGAGAAGGGGAUCCACUACUGCAGAACAACAGAUGGGCAGAACUGACAAUCCAAGCUGCUUGGCUCUGCUUGGAUGCUGGAGGGAUGUGUUACGGUUGUCCCCAAGGGCUUGCUCCAAGCCAGGAGAAGACCUAGAAAAGUAACCGAACCCUGCCUCACUCAUUUUUCACCAUCCUCUGCAUAGCGCCCCCUUCCACUCUGGUUUUGCUUAGCAUCCCCUCAUUUGGGGUAGUAGACUUCCUCCAUCCUCUCUCCUCACUUCUUGGAAUUCUCAAAGUUUAACGCAGAGGUUGUGGGCCUUCCUUGGUCUCCCACACUGUGGUUGGUUCUUUUGCCCUGUUGCAUCUUGCACCAUACAUUCUGUAUUCUAGCUUAUGUUUAAAUGUCAGAUUUACCAUGUUAGGUUGUACACAACCAGAGAUGAGGCCUAAUAAUUUGUGCUUUUGUUUAAAAUAAUGAAUUGUGAGCUAUGUAGGGAAGUCUACUAGCAUAUUACUAAUGAGUUUGGUAUCAUUAAGCAUUCUGUGCAGUUCUUCCCGGAGAUAACUCAACUGUGAACUAAUUGUUUUCCUGCUUUCCCUUGAGCUUUUGAGUCUUUAUGAAUCCCCAGGUUUAUUAUAGCUUUCUGUUACCACAAGAAAUACUCGAGGUAGUCCGCUUAUAAAGAGGAAAGUUGGGUUUUGAUACACAGGCACGGCAGUGUCUGUUCACACUUGUUUGCUCCUCUGUUUGGGGGUCUGUGGUACUGUUUGGAGGCAGUACCAUGAGGCAGAAACAUACUAUGGAGCAAAGCGCCUCUCAUCAUGGCCAGCUGUGAAGAACAGUAAAGGGAAGAGACCAGGGCUCCACAGUUCCCUGCAAGGGCAUCUUCCCAGUGACCUAGAACCUCACUAAUCCCCACCUCCUACGCUUUUCACCACCUCUCUGGGACUGUACCAGAAACUAAGCCUGUAACAUGUAGACCUUGUGGAGCAUUCCAGAUCCAAGGUAUAGCGCUAAGAAUUAUUACUUGAUUUCAGACUUUGCAGGAAUGAUGCUAUGUCAUAAGUGUUCUUCAGCACUUACUUCAUAUUAACGUGUGUGGCUGUGGUUAGUGUGUUGCUGCUAGUUUGGUGAUGUAUAGUAUCUCAUUAGAGACUAUCAUGACUUUUAUCCCCUCUCUCAGAAGCGGGAAUUUAGGCUGUUUCUGACUUUCUUGCUUUUUAAACAGUUCUGGCAUGAACAUCAUUUCUGCCCCUUGGUACAGUGCAUGGGACGUGUGUGUGUGUGUGUGUGUG